rnacentral:rRNA from 1 species
GUGGGGAAUUUUGGACAAUGGGCGCAAGCCUGAUCCAGCAAUGCCGCGUGCAGGAAGAAGGCCUUCGGGUUGUAAACUGCUUUUGUACGGAACGAAACGGUCCUGGUUAAUACCUGGGGCUAAUGACGGUACCGUAAGAAUAAGCACCGGCUAACUACGUGCCAGCAGCCGCGGUAAUACGUAGGGUGCGAGCGUUAAUCGGAAUUACUGGGCGUAAAGCGUUCGCAGGCGGUUAUAUAAGACAGAUGUGAAAUCCCCGGGCUCAACCUGGGAACUGCAUUUGUGACUGUAUAGCUAGAGUACGGCAGAGGGGGAUGGAAUUCCGCGUGUAGCAGUGAAAUGCGUAGAUAUGCGGAGGAACACCGAUGGCGAAGGCAAUCCCCUGGGCCUGUACUGACGCUCAUGCACGAAAGCGUGGGGAGCAAACAGGAUUAGAUACCCUAGUAGUCC